GCCAGGUGUGGUGGCUCACGCCUAUAAUCCCAGUGGCUCGGGAGGCUGAGGCAGGAGGGUCACAGAUUCAAAGCCAGCCCCGGCAACUUAUCAAGGUGCUAAGUAACUCAGUAAGACCCUGUCUCUA
rnacentral:sRNA from 1 species